CUGGUGCCAGCAGCCGCGGUAAUUCCAGCUCCAAUAGCGUAUAUUAAAGUUGUUGCAGUUAAAAAGCUCGUAGUUGAAUUUCGGGGUUAGUAGGUUGGUCAUGCCUCUGGUAUGUACUGGUCUCACUGAUUCCUCCUUCCUGAUGAACCGUAAUGCCAUUAAUUUGGUGUUGCGGGGAAUUUGGACUGUUACUUGAAAAAUUAGAGUGUUUAAAGCAAGCUAACGCUUGAAUACAUUAGCAUGGAAUAAUGAAAUAGGACGUUCGAUCCUAUUUUGUUGGUUUCUAGGGAUUGACGUAAUGAUUAAUAGGGAUAGUUGGGGGCAUUAGUAUUCAAUUGUCAGAGGUGAAAUUCUUGGAUUUAUUGAAGACUAACUACUGCGAAAGCAUUUGCCAAGGAUGUUUUCAUUAAUCAAGAACGAAAGUUAGGGGGAUCGAAGACGAUCAGAUACCGUCGUAGUCUUAACCAUAAACUAUGCCGACUAGGGAUCGGAUGAUGUUAAUUUUUUAAUGACUCAUUCGGCGCCUUACG
rnacentral:rRNA from 1 species